rnacentral:rRNA from 1 species
UGCAUAGGAAUCUACCUAGUAGUAUAGGAUAGCCACUAGAAGUGGUGGGUAAUACUGUAUAAUCCCUGCGGGGGAAAGAUUUAUCGCUACAUGAUGAGCCUAUGUUAGAUUAGCUAGUUGGUGGGGUAAUGGCCUACCAAGGCAGUGAUCUAUAGCUGGGCUGAGAGGAUGAUCAGCCACACUGGAACUGAGACACGGUCCAGACUCCUACGGGAGGCAGCAGUGGGGAAUAUUGGACAAUGGGCGCAAGCCUGAUCCAGCUAUGCCGCGUGAGUGAGGAAGGCCUUAGGGUUGUAAAACUCUUUCAGUGGGGAAGACAAUGACGGUACCCACAGAAGAAGUCCCGGCAAACUCCGUGCCAGCAGCCGCGGUAAUACGGAGGGGGCAAGCGUUGUUCGGAAUUAUUGGGCGUAAAGGGCAUGUAGGUGGUUUGGUUAGUUAAAGGUGAAGUGCCAGGGCUUAACCCUGGAGCUGCUUUUAAUACUGCCAGACUGGAGUCCGGGAGAGGAUAGCGGAAUUCCUAG